rnacentral:rRNA from 1 species
GUAAUGCAAGUACUUACGAAUAAGCAUCGGCUAAUUCCGUGCCAGCAGCGCGGUAAUACGGAGAUGCAAGUGUUAUCCGGAUUUAUUGGGUUUAAAGGGUGCGUAGGUGGUCUAAUAAGUCAGUAGUGAAAUCUCUUUGCUUAACAAGGAAAUUGCCAUUGAAACUGUUAGACUUGAGAAUGGACGAGGUAGGCGGAAUUCGUAGUGUAGCGGUGAAAUGCAUAGAUAUUACGAAGAACUCCAAUAGUGUAGACUGCUUACCAGACCAUAUCUGACACUAAGGCACGAAAGUGUGGGUAUCAAACAGGAUUAGAUACCCUGGUAGUCCACACAGUAAACGAUGAAUACUAACUGUUUGCGAUAUACAGCAAGUGGUCGAGCGAAAGCGUUAAGUAUUCCACCUGGGAAGUAUGCCGGCAACGGUGAAACUCAAAGGAAUUGACGGGGGCCCGCACAAGCGGAGGAACAUGUGGUUUAAUUCGAUAAUACGCGAGGAACCUUACCCGGGCUCGAACGAUAUUUGAAUACAUCCGAAAAGAUGUAGCUAGCAAUAGCAAAUACCGAGGUGCUGCAUGGUUGUCGUCAGCUCGUGCCGUGAGGUGUCGACUUAAGUGUCAUAACGAGCGCAACCCUUACCGAUAGUUACCAUCAGAUAAUGCUGGGGACUCUAUUGGGACUGCCACCGUAAGGUGUGAGGAAGGAGAGGAUGACGUCAAAUCAGCACGGCCCUUAUGUCCGGGGCGACACACGUGUUACAAUGGGAGAAACAAAGGGUCGCUACCUGGCAACAGGAUGCUAAUCUCGAAAAUCUCUCUCAGUUCGGAUUGGAGUCUGCAACUCGACUCCAUGAAGCUGGAUUCGCUAGUAAUCGCACAUCAGCCAUGGUGCGGUGAAUACGUUCCCGGGCCUUGUACACACCGCCCGUCAAGCCAUGGAAGCUGGAAGUACCUGAAGUAUGUAACUGAAAAGAGCUCCUAAG